rnacentral:rRNA from 1 species
UACAGAGGUCCCAAGCGUUGUUCGGAUUCAUUGGGCGUAAAGGGUGCGUAGGUGGCGCUGUAAGUCGGGUGUGAAAUUUCGGAGCUUAACUCCGAAACUGCAUUCGAUACUGCCGUGCUUGAGGACUGGAGAGGAGACUGGAAUUUACGGUGUAGCGGUGAAAUGCGUAGAUAUCGUAAGGAAGACCAGUGGCGAAGGCGGGUCUCUGGACAGUUCCUGACACUGAGGCACGAAGGCCAGGGGAGCAAACGGG